rnacentral:misc_RNA from 1 species
GCUCUAACAAUUCUGCUCUUCGAUUAAAUGUUCCUCCAUGUAUAGUAUUUUCAAGAUAAAAGAAUAUCCGCCAUGUGGAGAUUGUUUACAAAGUUCCUAAAAAUAUCCGUACCAAUAUGAGAAACGCCCACUACUCUUGUCAGAAGUAUUCAAAAAUCUGAUUGAAGGCCCCAAGUAGCAACAAUGGACCAUAUUUUACUGAGGGUGUUGAGCAUCUGCUGCCAAAGCAAUACGUGCUCACCAUCGGCACAAUAAGCGAACACAAACCCAGCGUAGACUAAAAAUCACAUGACUUAAAGGUGACAUCAAGCAAAAUCCAAUUUUCAAAAAUAGAGGCCACAUCAGCUUUUAGGCUAGAGAUCAGCAUCUUAAAGCGAAAUUUUUCCUUCCCCUCCCAAACCACGACAAUUCCAGAAGAUAAUGGCCACCAUAUCCAGGCACAAACUCAAACACGAUUAAACCAACGAGACCGGUCAAUAAAGAGACAAGACCCACCAAAAGAAAAGGACAACAUUAACAGAGAACACGCAACAGUCGUUAAGCAGAAAACACUUCCACGGCAAACACUAAGCAGAAUAUUCCUUCACAGGAGACCUCAAUUAGCAACAAGUAGAAUAAACCACAACCCAGGAAAGAAAAUACUGAUCAAAGCUAUGCUGCCUUGUGUUGGAGAUCACUUGUAAUGCGUUUUGGAAACUGAUUUACCACGAAAUCCUUUUCUCCAUGAAAGCAAGCUCCAGUUCCAUCCCAAGUUCGACAGCUGCUACGGCUUCAUUUGUUGCACUUGAAGAAUGGUUAGACUCUGGAUUUGAAGCAUGAAUGGCGUUCAUAUACGCCUGACGUCACUAUCCGAAGGAGCAAACAAGCUCUUUUGAGUUUUCUUUUCAAAUUUUCCUUUCCCUCCAAACGCUAGCUUAUGGUAUAAGUCCCACAAAUCUAAAAUCAACUUGUGCUUCCUUGUUG